AGAUACCAUUUCCAAGUUUGAAGAAGAGAAGGAAAGGCUUUUAAAGUGAUAUGAACAAAUGAGGAAGAAAGAAAAGAGUAUGAUGUCAGACCAUGAGAAAGCUUGCGGAGAUAAGAUUACUCGAUUGGAGGAGUCUCUGAAAAAGGAAAACUCAGGACAACAAAACUUUUAGCAUUUUGAGGAAAACUUUGGGUUCCCUUUUUGAGAAUGCCUCAGAUGAUGAUUUCCCACCUGAUGAUUAAAGCUUUGCUUUCGUGUUGGCAUCUCAGAGAAAAGGCAAAACUGACCACUCUUUCAACCUGAUUCAAGAUAUGUCCUUUAAUAUCUUCCUUAUUACACUGUCUCUAGAUAGUAGGAAAAACUUAAAUUGUCCAUAGUUAAUUUCCAUUAACAAUUCUCGACAGUCAAUAUUGAAUAUUCAAAUGUUUUCCGCUCUACACAAACUAAUAGAGCUCAGCAAUAGAUCUUAUUAUGUAAGACCAACUUUAUGUGUAUGAAUCUUUGGCUGAACACCAUAACUACAAACCAGCUAUGAUUACCGCUUUGGCUUUACAGUCCUUUCAUGUAACCGUUAUAUGAGAUAGAUGAUGAAUAUGAUAA